CAAGCUUGACUCAACUCAAGACCCAGUCUCCGCUGGGGCCUGUGACAUGGUCUGCUUCCAGUGGUGGAAUGUAACCAAGGACAUUUUCUCAAAUACAAAUUUUAGAAAGCAUUUCUUUCUUUCUCUCCCUGUAGGAGAAAAGAAUCCUAACAAGUGUAGUAAUCAAAGCACAUUAUGCAUUAAUGUGUACUGAAAAUUGCUGCAAAUAUAGACACUGCUGCUGUGUCCCGCUUGAAACCAUUCAAACGGGUUGAAAGUAGAGGGAAAUUUAAAUGCGGAAAAUCCUGAAAGACAAGGAAAAGAGGAAACUUGGAGGACAACCUACAACUCUCUGGAGGAGAACUUCAGAACAGAGCUCGCCAAGAGAGAAGAGAACUGGGAGAGGAAAGUAAAACAGAUGGAAGGGGAGAAGACAGAACUAAGUACUGUAAGAGAAGAAGAAAGAACUGGAGGAGCUGUCUGAAAAUACAGAAAAGGAGGAGAUGUUUCCAGUCAGGCAAGAAGAAGGUGAGUACAGAGGUGGAGACAAAAAAGAAUAAAAGAGAAAAGAAGAAGAUGGAAAUUAAAGGUCAGGAUGCACAGAAAAUGAAAGACAAGGAGGUGAAGGGGGAAAUUAAAAAAGAAAACAGGAAAUGGAGGAUAUAAAGAAGAAACAAAAGGACAAGGCAGGGUCCUGUCACGCUCUGGUUGGAUAUCCACCCUCUACUAGUCAUACAGAGCAUCUUACUUAAUCACCAUUUGCUUAUUUGCUUAAAGUACUGACUCAUAUAAUGUAUGGUGGGCAAUGAGCUCAGUGCUUUUGGUCUUUAAUUUUCUGUAUAAAACUAUUAGUCCAUCAAUGGAUUAGUUAAUAGAAAAUAAAUCAACAACUCUUACGAUAUUGUAAACUGAAUGUCUUUGGUUUUGGGACAAAGUGAGCACUUAAAAUACAUCAGGUUGGGCUUUAGGUGAUCUCUAAGGGAUUUGUUUGCACUAUUUUCCAACAUUUAAUGACCACACAAUUAUUGGAAGAAAUAAUCAUUACAUUAAUCAGUAACGAAAAAUAAUAAGUAGUUUCAGCCCUGGUGAACCUAUAAAAAAAGGUCUGUAUUACAGUUAUUAGAGAUGGCUCAAGAACAUGAAAAUUAUCAUGAAAGGAAGUUUCCUGGUGAAGGGGGUGUCACUUCCUGUACUCUUCAUGCUAAACAUAGAUAGAGAGCUGAAGAGAGAAGGCAGGAAGGCUUUGGCAAGAUCACACUGAGAAUCUGAUGUGAGCUCCGGCACUGUGAGUAAAGUUACAUAAUCCCAUUUCCCCUGUUUGAUUAUCACCGAUCUGACAGUAUGUGUUGGAAGCAAUGUGAUGUUCCAAACUGUGCUUAUGAAGCUUUAGCAGAUGGGAGGUGAUGGGAGAAGCAAGAAGAAAGCAUCAUACAGAAAUUUAGUGGAAUCAACUAACCUUUCUUGUUAAUGUAAAUAUGUAAGUUUUGUUAAUUUCAAGCUAAUUCAAUUUAGAAAGUCUACUUUUAAUUUUCAGACCACUCAAGAACUUAAACAAGGGUUGUUCCAACAGGAGUCUUUUGACUUGAACUGAUGAAGUUUUUUUUGUUUUUUUUUGAGAAUAUCUUUACAAACAAGAAAAUCUUUAAAACAUUUCUGUUAACACAAAAGAGCUGAAACAUUUUUCUAAUAUGGAUUUGAAUCAAAUUCUAUUAAGCAGUAUGUUAGCCCUCUGGCUGAAUAAAUUAAGUGUAAUAGAUCAAA